rnacentral:rRNA from 1 species
UCUGGGCCGUGUCUCAGUCCCAAUGUGGCCGGUCACCCUCUCAGGUCGGCUACUGAUCGUCGCCUUGGUGGGCCGUUACCUCACCAACUAGCUAAUCAGACGCGGGUCCAUCUCAUACCACCGGAGUUUUUCACACCGUACCAUGCGGUACUGUGCGCUUAUGCGGUAUUAGCAGUCAUUUCUAACCGUUAUCCCCCUGUAUGAGGCAGGUUACCCACGCGUUACUCACCCGUCCGCCACUCGGUAAAUAAGAAUCCAUCCGAAAACUUCAACUUAUUUGCCUCGUUCGACUUGCAUGUGUUAGGC